rnacentral:rRNA from 1 species
ACACGACUACAUUAGAUACCCCGGUAGUCCUAGCCGUAAACGACACUCGCUAGGUGUCGGCCACGGUGCGACCGUUGUCGGUGCCGUAGGGAAGCCGUGAAGCGAGCCACCUGGGAAGUACGGCCGCAAGGCUGAAACUUAAAGGAAUUGGCGGGGGAGCACAACAACGGGUGGAGCUUGCGGUUUAAUUGGAUUCAACGCCGGAAAUCUUACCGGGACCGACAGCAACAUGAAGGCCAAGCUGAAGACUUUGCCGGAUUAGCUG